rnacentral:rRNA from 1 species
CGAAACCAGGUGAUCUACCCAUGUCCAGGAUGAAGGUAAGGUAAUACUUACUGGAGGUCCGAACCCACGCACGUUGAAAAGUGCGGGGAUGAGGUGUGGGUAGCGGAGAAAUUCCAAUCGAACUUGGAGAUAGCUGGUUCUCUCCGAAAUAGCUUUAGGGCUAGCCUCGAGGUAAAGAGUCAUGGAGGUAGAGCACUGUUUGGACUAGGGGCCCUUCUCGGGUUACCGAAUUCAGAUAAACUCCGAAUGCCAUGUACUUAUACUCGGGAGUCAGACUGCGAGUGAUAAGAUCCGUAGUCGAAAGGGAAACAGCCCAGACCACCAGUUAAGGUCCCCAAAUAUAUGUUAAGUGGAAAAGGAUGUGGGGUUGCUUAGACAACCAGGAUGUUGGCUUAGAAGCAGCCACCAUUGAAAGAGUGCGUA